GCGUAAUAGCUCACUGGUCGAGUCGGCCUGCGCGGAAGAUGUAACGGGGCUAAACCAUGCACCGAAGCUGCGGCAGCGAACGUAUCACUUAAAGCGAUUCAGCGGGUUACGAUUGACGGAGCGAAGCGACGUCAAAGCGUAUACAAAGUCGAGUCGGUUUAAGGAUACGUUCGUUGGGUAGGGGAGCGUUCUGUAAGCCUG
rnacentral:rRNA from 1 species